CACGUAGGGGCGAGCGUUUGUCCGGAUUCAUUGGGCGUAAGCGCUUAAGGCGGUUCGAUAAGUCGGGUGUGAAACUCAAGGCUCAACCCUGGAGACGCCGACUCGAUACUGUCGUGACUAGAGUCCGGAUAGGGGACCACGGAAUACCUGGUGGUAGCGGUGAAAUGCGCAGAGUAUCAGUGGACACCGGUGGCGAAGGCGGAUGGUCUGGGCCGGAACUGAGCUGUAGAGCGAAAGCGUGGGAGCGAACA
rnacentral:rRNA from 1 species